UACGAAGGGGGCUAGCGUUGCUCGGAAUCACUGGGCGUAAAGGGUGCGUAGGCGGGUCUUUAAGUCAGGGGUGAAAUCCUGGAGCUCAACUCCAGAACUGCCUUUGAUACUGAAGAUCUUGAGUUCGGGAGAGGUGAGUGGAACUGCGAGUGUAGAGGUGAAAUUCGUAGAUAUUCGGAAGAACACCAGUGGCGAAGGCGGCUCACUGGCCCGGUACUGACGCUGAAAUACGAAAGCGUGGGGAGCAAACAGG
rnacentral:rRNA from 1 species